GACAGGGAGAAGGUGAAAUAAAAAACAAGCAGAGGACAAAAAGCAUAAAAAGUGAGAAAGGAACAACAGGAGGAAAAGAAAAAAUACAAGAAAUGGAAAAGCAGAAACAAGGGAAACAAAGUCUACAAAUGAAUUAAGUCCUUUUUUCAGCAUGGAAACUGACAAGAGCAGACCCAGGCAUGGACGGCAGUUCCUGAAGUCGGCACGUGGCUUAAAAAGGACCACACAUGCACACGGUCCUUCCCGAUGGCGGGCGGCUCACAGGUACGGGGUCGCUCCUUCUUCCUCUAGUCCCCACGGGGAGGGAGGUGACUCUGGGUGUUACCAUACAGGGUGGCUUUUUGCGUGGAGGGUGGAGGGUUCCCUCCUCAAAAAUGCCCAAAGCACCUGGCACAGGCCUGCCUUGCUCUGUAGAGCAGACGGGGAAAUACGUGGCCAAACUGCCUCUAGGUUUAUGUUCAUGGGCAUGUGUGCUCCCGGUAAGACUGCACUCGGGUGUGUCUAAGGGGCGAGGAGGGCUCUGCGGCUGACCACUGGGCCGACGGAUGGCAGCUGUGUCUACAGGGCAGCAGGGCCCAUCCUUGGGUGGGCUUCUAGCGCUCGGACAGCUGCAGUGCUUCCAACUCCAAGCCAGGGUGUGUUGGGGGAACGCGUCCACACAGAGGCAACUUCCACCAAUCCGUUUCACUAUCCCCCCACACGCCAGGGAGAGCCAACCACCCCCUUUUCUUCUGCCCCUUCCAUCUGCAGAGCUGGAGGAAGGCUGCCACACUUUGGACUGUAAGACUAAAAGGGAGCUGACAGGACAUGCCAAAAACCCACAGUAACAAUGCUGGUCAGAGUCAUGGAUGGGGCAGCUGAGAGAAGACAGUGUGCAGAGAGACGCCUUUGAGACUUAGAGAGACCUGAUGGUGACUCAAGGACGAGGGAGAGGAGCUCGGCAGGGACCAUCACAGAACCACAGGGGCACACGCAGGAGACAUGGAGCCCACCAACAGGGGCAGGAGUGCCUCAGGAACUGUGGGUGGUGGGAAGGUAAGCGGGUGUUUUCACAAUUAGAGCAGGGUGUAAGUAACCCUGUUUUAGUCACCAGAAGGGCCAAAUAGACAAGCUGUUGGUUGAGACCCUUCUCCCUUGCAGAAAACCAAAUGCAGGCACCACAUUUUCCUUUCCUUCAAGACCCUCACAGUGGUCUCCAUAGUGCUAUGUGCAUAGUGAGUCUGAUACCAGCUACACUUCAAACCAAAGCCAGAGACUGCGUGCGUGUGUUUGCGUGUGUGUGUGAAAUGCUGAUUGUAACGUGUUCUCCACAGACAUGACCGUGACCAGAUGACAUGCUGGGGUAGGGAGAAGCGUUCCUUUCUUAAAAAACACACUGCUUCAUAGCUGAUCUACAGUCAGCUUUCUUUGUUACAAAGUGUUGGUGCUCAGAACACCUGGAUAGAUUCCCAUGAAAUACUCCAUCAAGGAGCACUCUGCGCCACUUCCUGGGACUGAUGUCACAGCAGACAGGCUGUGGUGCAGAGCGGCAGUGUCCAUAUUCAUUAAAGGCACAGUGACACGAUGCCAAAACACACCCCAAAUAAGGAAGUAUGCACCUGCAUGCAUAUUGAAACUGUGUUUCUACACUCUGGGUAUCACAAAAUACAGCUUUUAAAAGCUUCCUUCACUUAGACCACUCCCUCAUAUACUCUUUCCAAUACAGAAGACAACGUGAGGUAACAGGAUAUGCAGAACAGAAAUUAGGAAAUGAAAUUAGAAAAGGCGUGUCAGGUAAAGUAAGUUUAAAAAAAAAAAAAGAAUUCUCCUAACAAGAGGCAGAAGGCGGGAUGUAAAAUCCCGGAAGGGCUGCCCCCUGGUAAGCAUGGUCAUGACUUUCUUCUUCAUUUUCCUACAUGCUCCAAAUUUCCUUAAUGUAGACUACCUUAAUAAUCAGAAAAACAACCAAUACAGAUUGUUUUAAGAAGAAGAAACUGGGGAGAAAACUGAUUGGAAACAUCGGACGAGGGGAGUUCUACCCAGACUCAAAUCUGAAAUGAGCAAAGGAAGCAGGGGUUCUGAUUGUCAUUUCUUUGCCCUUUUUGGAGAUGUGAGAAAUGCAGGAUUUGGUUCACUAGUUCUAAGGACAAAGAUGUGGUCGAGCUCAUGGCAAAUAGAAGCUAAAAAAGGGCUUUCAGUGCCAGGGGACUAGGUUCCUGCCUCUUUGUAGCAGCCACCACAUUUAUUCCCCCAAAACCAUCUGCACCCCCAGGCUCCAGUCAUCACUUCUGAGCGACCCCAGAUCUGCUCCUGGUUGGGGGCUUUUACACAGCAGGUCUAUCGUCUCAUCCUGACGGCUCUGCCUGCCCUCAGCACUCUGCAAGCUCACCUGUUCCAAUGUUUACCUUGGCAGCAAACUCACUUUUUUCCUCAGAAGAAACAUUUCCUUUUGAAAUGUGACCAUCAUCAGCAACUCUUUGGCACCCAGUCACCUUGACCUCUGGGGGUCGGUGACAUGUGUCACUGAAUUUUGAAAAGCAGCAGAAUGUCAUCGUACAGUAAGGCAUGUUUCAUCAGAUUCCAGUAUGAGGCUUGAAAUAAGUAUGUUUAGUGCCUGAUAGUUUCAAAACACUCUCAUGUGUGUUACUUCAUUUGAUCCUUACAUUGGACUAGGGUGGCGACCUGAUGAUGGGUCUUACCAUCUCUAUUUUCAAAUGAGGCAUCUGAGGCUCACAGAGGUUAAUUGUGGCCAGCCUGAUUAAAACUCAGAUCUUCCUUUUCCAUUCUGAACUAAGAGUCGGCCCUCUUUAAAGGGCCAAUGAGAGCUCCAGACAAAUCUAACAGCAGACAGCCACUGCCGGCAGAGAAGUCACAGAAACCCUACUGAGAAUGCCGGGCCGGAUAAGGGACCUCCCGGGAGGGUAAGUCACCUGGCUGGGGACAUAGUGAAGCCAGGACCUGAGUGCAGGCUUUGCCUUCCUAAGUUGGGGGUGCUCCCCACACGACCAUUUUGCUUCUGACCUGCUUGGACACCUCCUCCAGGCCCUGCCUCUUGUGUCGCUCAGGGCUGGCCCAGGACCCAGUAGGCAGGUGGGAGAAGAGAACAAUCAUAUGGCAGCUCCCCCUUCUCUACACUUGUCCUUCCUGUAUUUCCAUCUUCCUCCAACUUCCUCAAGACACUUCACCCAAAACACCCCCAUGCCCCCCAUAAGCUAACUGGAUGAGAUGUCAGGCUGGCUGGACAAAAAUCACCCCUCAGGACACUGAUCUCAGGCGUUCAUCGGAAAUGUGCAUAAACCCGACUUCAGUCCUUUUGGGAGUCAGAAUCCUAAGGUCCCAGCCCUGAGCCUGGGAGGCAGAGAAGGAGAGGUGAGGAUGGGAUUACGCAGCCUGGAGGGGCCACGACAAAGGCCAGGGAACACCAGGGACAGCAUGGGCUGUGAGGGGAGUCAGCCUGAGGCGCCGCAUCUCCAAUUCAGUCACUCAGGUCUGCCUGCUUCUAUUUCAUCCACUGACUUCUGUACUGGUGCUAAACAAAAAACAAUUAGAAAUACCUGAUAAGGACAAUGGGCUUCUAUUAAGGACAAAUAAAUUGUACAAGGAUGUUGGGGCACCUCGGAUGCCACCUGGCCCUGUGCUAGUUACACACCAGCCCUGUUUUCUCUAAGAGACAAGCAUGGAAGUGUUGUGAGUUGGAGGCAACAGCUGAGGGCAGUCACAGCAGGAAAGCAAGUUAGUGGGCCAGUCUCCAGGAUGACGGAAGCAAAGGAAAGUGGAGAACCGGGACCCGACCUGGAGCUGAGCAGCAGCCAUGGGGACGCGCCUGGGGCUCAGGCCCUCACCGCCCACUGGACAGGCUCCUGGUUGCCCUUGUUGGACAAAGCAGCCGUCACCACAGCUGGAGGGGCGGCUGCAGCGUGGGGAGGGCCAGCUAGGGAGAGGUCCCGGCCGGAAUGCUGCGUUUCCCCAUGGAAACACUGGUCGGACCUAGAAUGGCAGAGCCUAGUACUGUGCCCUAGAGCCAUUAGGAGGAAAAUGGGCUUAACAGCUGAGCCACCAUUUAUAACUGCACUUCCACAUGAAAAUACAGAAUUCCAAAUAACCAGCUCAUAAAUAUCCUACGGUAUAAUCCUGUUAGAGUUCAAAAUUGCCCCUCAACUUCCCUGUGGAGAUCCCGCAGCUUAUUUCAUACACAAAUCUGUAAAGUGCCCCCAGGUUAGAUGACUUCCCUUCCAGCUAUACUUUUGGAAAAUCCUGCACAUAGGAAGAGAUUCUUUUUGACUCUGACUUCCUUUUGGCCUCUGAACAAGCUCCAAAGUGUCACAGGUAGGAAAGGGGCACGCUUACUUCUCAGGUGUGUUUUGAGGUCCCAUUUUCCUGCCUGAGGAGCCAGUGUCCAUGGGCGGCCGAGAGCAGGCCCCACCCUGCCUGGGCAGCCUCCCUGCCUCACCUCGUCCUGGCAGUAAUGCCGCCCGCCCCUUUUCACUGGUCACUGACCCAGCACAGCAGCGAUGCCUUUUAUUCAUUUCAUGCUACAGAUACUACCAAAAUUUCGUUCUUUUCUUAGGUAACAGCAGGGACAUUGCCGCUCAUGCGAAGCUCAGCCUACCAGAUUAAACUUGCAGAAAGCCACAAGUUCAGGCUGGGAGAAUUUCUUGGUGGUUCAGGAAACCUCCUUGCUCAAUAUCAACGCCGUGACCCUGACGUGAGGCAGUCUUUGCACGGAAGGCUGAGGUGCCCAGCACCACACCCAGGGGCAAUGAUCAACACUGCGGCCCGACGAGGGAGUCAGGUUUGCUGGUUUCCAGUGCUGCAGAGUGGAAUCACAAGGUGCAGCUAUGUGAAGAAAAGAUCUGUAUUCCAUGUACUCUGGGCUCAAAAAGAGACUUAAUACGGAGUUGGAGCCUUUAUACAGGUAGCUGAGAGUCAUCCAAAGACCCUCCUGAAACAACGUAGUGUGAUGGGCAGAGCACCAGGCGCCCAGACUCCUCAGCACAGGACCUGACGCUGCCUGGAGCUUGUCUUGCCCACGGGAGACGUGAGACCAGCCCUGGGCCCCGCAGUGGGGUUUCUGUGUGGCCUCUGGAUGCGCGAGCAAUCAGGUUCCACAUUUCAGGCCUCACAUUUCAAAAGGGUAAUUUCUCCCCCAAAUAAUGAAUAUUACUAAGUGCUCCAAGCACGAAAGAUCAACAGAAACUGAAAGGGACCUAAUACUAGCAUCUAAGUUUUCCUCCUGGAGUGAGACGGGAACAGGGCCGGAGGACCCCUGCCCUCUGCCUGCGGCACACAGUGACUCUCUGUGGAAGGGACGGUUCUCUCACGCUUCACGGGCGGAGCAGCAGCAGGCCCUCUGUGGAAAGCGGAACCCACAGGAGAAGUUUAAAUUUUACACAGAAAUCAUAAUGAGCUGAAAAAGAGAAAGCGAUGAGACCCAAGUAGCAGGGUGAUAAAGUUUUUGAGGAUGGGGUAUUUUAUAAUUCAGAAGACACACUCUUUCUUUUUUGUAUUUAUUUCAUUUCCCCCUGGAGUCUACGGACAUAGAAAUGAAAACAGCCAACUACAUUUUAUCAAACUAUGGGGAUAAAGAAAACAAAACUAGACACACGAGGUAAUCAGUGUGGCAACAGUAUCUUGAAACAAGAGGGAAGGUGAAUAUAAUUUUAAAGAAAUGGGUUUUGAUAGUUCCUUCCAGGAGAUUUUGAAUUUUAAAAAAACAUGUUUUUUCAUACACCGAGAUUCAUUUAGAAUGGACGUAAACAUUCCCCAGGGAGUGUUAGUGGGAGGUGGGAAAGAAGUCAAGGCCAUUAGACAAGGAGCAGGGUUGUUAAUUGCAACGUAAGCAUCAGCCCUUUUACAGCCUCAAUGGCCAUGAGUGUCAAAGUCAUGACACACCAAAAGGUCUGGGCGCUGAAGGAGGCCGUGCGGGUGGAGCACAGAGACACCACAACCCACCCCACGAAGCCGCCUCCUUACUGGUGGAGGGUCCUAAGCAGGAACCACAGAACUCGACCUAUGGAUUUUAAAGGAAUGCGCCACAAAGUGACUCUCUUAAAAGAAUGAGAUUAUGGGGAAAAAUGAGAAUGAUUUCUGCCAGCUCUUUUGUUCCAAGACCACUGGUAGACAAGGAGCCUGCAAGGGGAGGUGAAGAGGUCAGAUUGCCUGACCAAGGAUGCAGGAACCCAGGAAGGUGCCAGGGUGCCCCCUGGUCACUCUCAGGAGCAGCUGUCUGGCACUCCUUUUGACAAAAUGGCAGCUUUUCAGGAGAGAAACUGCCCAGAGUCUAGAAACGAGACUCAUGGAUUGGUUAUUUCUAGAAUCUAAUACACAUGGUAGCUUUGUACAGCAAGACAUCAAAAAUAUUGAAUUCAUUUAUAGUAGUGGUUCUCCUACUUUAGAGGGCAUUUGAAUCAUCUAGAAGGUUUGUUAAAACACAGAUAAGCAGACCUCACCCUUAGAGUUUGAUUCAGCCGGUCUGGGUGGGGCCUGACAACCUGCAUUUCUAACAAGCUCCCUGCUCAUGCUGCUCUCGUCCAGGGGCCACACUCUGAGAACCAGUGCCUUAGACUUUUUCUGUGUUCACUGAAAAGAACUGCAAAGUUAGUCCCAAGACAGAGCAUGGAGGGAGGGACAUUAUUAUAGGCAUCUGUCAACGUAGUGUCAACCUGGCGCCUGGGCAGAAAUCACAGUGACACCGUCCGUGCACCUGGGUCCCUCAGGGGGACAGGAGUGCACCCUAAUUAAAAUGGCUGAGGCUGAGUUCUUCACAUAUUUCCUUCCUGAGUGUGGCUGGCGAUGAGCUUCCUAGUGGAUGUGACUCCUACAAACUGGGAGGGUGACAUCCAGGGCAGAGGUCAUUUGGCGUGCGUGCGUAAAUGCAUGUGAGCAGCUGUGCGUGUGUACUGCCACCGUCAAACAACCACAUGGUAUUAGAAGGACCAGGAGGCAGAUGCAAGGUUGACGGGUGUGGGUAGGUGCACGGCUCUUAUCAACAAUUAAGAUCACUCCGGGCAGCAAAAGCUAUCUGAACUCUCCCCCUGAGUGUGUGUAGCAGAGGGAAGGAGCUGGCACGCUGCUCCAUUACGGCUGGAAAAGGGCCUGUGCUUUUGCCUUUGGUUACUGGGUUGGCUUCUUGUUGUUUGUGAGCCAGGACUGGGCAGAGGUGGGGAAAGGGUGUCAGCGGGUUCGUCAGCACCAGGU